rnacentral:rRNA from 1 species
CUACGGGGGGCACCAGUGGGGAAUAUUGCACAAUGGAGGAAACUCUGAUGCAGCAACGCCGCGUGGAGGAUGACACUUUUCGGAGCGUAAACUCCUUUUAUAUAGGAAGAAGAUGACGGUACUAUAUGAAUAAGCGCCGGCUAACUCCGUGCCAGCAGCCGCGGUAAUACGGAGGGCGCAAGCGUUACUCGGAAUCACUGGGCGUAAAGAGCGUGUAGGCGGAUUAAAAAGUCAGAAGUGAAAUCCUAUAGCUUAACUAUAGAACUGCUUCUGAAACUCUUAAUCUAAAAUGUGGGAGAGGUAGAUGGAAUUUCUGGUGUAGGGGUAAAAUCCGUAGAGAUCAGAAGGAAUACCGAUUGCGAAGGCGAUCUACUAGAACAUUAUUGACGCUGAGACGCGAAAGCGUGGGGAGCAAACAGGAUUAGAUACCCUAGUAGUC